CGCUGGGACCCGCCCAGAGGGGUCGAAGGCGGCCGCGCUGGGACCCCGGGGGGAGCGCGGCGAGGAAGAGUCACUUCCUGCCUGGGUCCCCCGCUCCGGGCCGAUUCCCGAGUGCUUCGAAGCCGUCGACCCGGAAGGCUCCUCAGCCUCCACCGGGCUCCGAGCCCAGCCCCCGCUGACCACACUUACCCCGAGCGGCUGUGAGAUCCGCGGCCGCUGGCGGUUCUUCGCUCCUCAACUGGGUUGAAGCCCCUCAGCCACCGAGUCUCCAGGUUUAGUCAGGCCCUGGCCUUGGCCCCGCCUCUCCCUGGUUGGGCCUCAUCGUCAAUCACUCGGCGUAGCUCCGCCCUUGAACAGAGGGCUCUCCUGGUUGGCCCAGAACGCCCUUCAUUCCUAGGCCCCGCCCUCGUUCCCGGUACCCUGCCCCUUCCGCUGGGCCCCGCCCAUUCUCUGGUUCACCCUCCCCCACUCACUCUCCCCUCUGCUGCUCGGCCCACCCCUCCCAGAAGCCACCGACCCAGAGCUAACUCCCGCAGCUCGCCCCGCCCCUGGCUCAACUCCUCGUACUCUUACAGCCAAUCAAAGAGGCUAACCCUGCCCCUUCUCGGGAAGCAGCCAAUGUGGAGAGCCUUAGGAUCCACCUCCUUCCCAGCUGAGCGCACACAACACAGCAUCCACGUGAGUCAGCUUCUUAAAGGAGAAGGCUCAGCUUUUCUAAUUGCGGCAGCUGUAGGACUUCGCGCGUCGUCAGCGUCACCAGGUGGUGGCUAAGGCCUAGCUUUUAGAGGUCCAGAGAUGACAAAUGAAAACAGCAGGCUAUUUUUCUAGGCAAAGCAGCAUAUAGGAAAUCCUGAAGAACAUCUAUGGAAAACGACAUUUUUCAAGUGUACCCGACUUAAUUUACAGCUCUCUGAGUUUUCUCUUGGUAGUGGAAGUGAUUAUCAAGAAGAUGAGAAAAUUGAGAAUCUUUUACAUGGAGAUUGUCUGCCUUUGAAAGUCUGAGGUUUGAUUGUUGAAAAGGGAAGCAGUUUCCCUAACCAUCACCAACGCUUAAGGCUUUGCAUCUCCUGCUUUUUCUAGGUAAUAACAUUAAUGAUCUUUGCCCGACUUUCGGGAUGAAGUAUAAAUACUUGAUGAUGCCUGUUUCCCAGACAGAAAAUAAAAGCUAACAUUUGAGGUGUUUUAA